GAGUGACUGACAAGCUGAGAUUCUUCCCAGUCAAAGGACCCAUUUUCAUGAUAGACAGUGUCUGUGGCUGGAGGCUCUACAUACAAGGUGUGUCUACACAGGCCAAAGAGUGCCAGUAUUAGCACAGGAUUUCCUUUCCUCCCACUCUGAAGAAGGAGAUGGAGAAGACAGUCAGAAGUCCAGGAGAUGGGACACCUUUCGUUUCAUUAGAAAGAGAAAUUAAAAUGUGUGAAAUGUGGAUUAUGCUUCAUAGAAUGAGCACACAUAAUUCACAUCAAUGACCUCCGACGGGAGAAACCAUUGAAAGCAAUGAACUCAGCAGGAAAUCAGUCUUAAACACACAAUGUGUAUUUGAAGUUCUUGUGUUUAUAUGUAAAACUGAACAGCAAUGAAAUAUUGAAUGCAAUGUCAAACAAUGUGAGUAUAAUCUAAGAGGUAAAGAACCUUUUGAUAGAGAGGAUGAAUCUGGUUUGCUGGUGGUGAGUGAGGAUUAGGGCUGGGCGAUAUAUUGAUAUCUGGUCCAAUACUGGUUUCUAGACCACAUCUCGAUAACCUUUGAAGAACAGCUGAUGUGGCAAUACACUGUCAAUCACAGUGUGUGUUUCUGGGAUGUGCCUGCAAGCAGCGGCAGAAAGUUUUCUUCGUGACGUCCCUGCAGAUGCUGAGUUGCUGACUUCCCUCCAAGACUACAAGAAGCGAAAGGCACGCCUCCAUUGCCCUGUGUCCUUCCAGCCUCUUUCCUCCCUUGCUCCCUUCUGCCGGUGUGUGUGCCUGACUUAGAUAUCCUGUAUGCUGUAUAAUUUUACCGCUGAAACUGGAUUUGCUCUCAGGAGCUAAGUUUUGUGCCUCACUGGGGACCCAGUGAGAACUGUAGGCUUUGAAAGCUCA